ACGGGAGGCAGCAGUGGGGAAUAUUGCACAAUGGGGGAAACCCUGAUGCAGCGACGCCGCGUGAGUGAAGAAGUUAUUCGUAAUGUAAAGCUCUAUCAGCAGGGAAGAAAAUGACGGUACCUGACUAAGAAGCCCCGGCUAACUACGUGCCAGCAGCCGCGGUAAUACGUAGGGAGCGAGCGUUGUCCGGAAUUACUGGGUGUAAAGGGAGCGUAGGCGGGACUGCAAGUCAGAUGUGAAAUGCCGGGGCUUAACCCCGGAGCUGCAUUUGAAACUGUGGUUCUUGAGUGAAGUAGAGGCAAGCGGAAUUCCUGGUGUAGCGGUGAAAUGCGUAGAUAUCAGGAGGAACACCGGUGGCGAAGGCGGCUUGCUGGGCUUUUACUGACGCUGAGGCUCGAAAGCGUGGGUAGCAAACAGGAUUAGAUACCCUGGUA
rnacentral:rRNA from 1 species